rnacentral:rRNA from 1 species
UACGUAGGGGGCAAGCGUUGUCCGGAUUUAUUGGGCGUAAAGAGCGUGUAGGCGGCUAUACAGGUCCGCUGUGAAAACUCGAGGCUCAACCUCGAGACGUCUGUGGAAACCGUAUGGCUAGAGUCCGGAAGAGGAGAGUGGAAUUCCUGGUGUAGCGGUGAAAUGCGCAGAUAUCAGGAAGAACACCCGUGGCGAAGGCGGCUCUCUGGGACGGUACUGACGCUGAGACGCGAAAGCGUGGGGAGCGAACAGG